AGCAACUCACUGGGACUCCUGACCAACAGUGUUCAAGAAUUAAGAACAACAAAAAUCACAAACAUAAGCCACAUUCCUUGAAUUGGGCUAUACUGAUUCCUUGAAUUGAACCAUAUGAAUGAAAAACAAAAGCAACCCUUGGUUGGAGGUGUACUUGGCAACUUGUCCUUGUUUGGAGUCCACUUGUACUCAGCCAGCUAAGUGAUUUCAGGCAAGUUACUUAACUUCUCUGGGCCUCACUUUCUUUGUACCCCUCCAUUGUUGUUAGCAUCCUUUUUAUAGAGGAUGUCAAGCACUUGCACAUUUCUUGCACAUAGUAGAUAAGGUUCUUACUAAAUUAUAGGUAUUAUAAUAAUCACAGAUGACCCUGUUACUUAUACUUUCAAGUAUUACCUCAUUUUACCUAAUGUUACCUAGUAUUACCUAGUUUCACGUAUUUUUGUUCAAAUCUAAUCUCCUUUACUUUACUAGAAGGUGGGAUCCACAUAUGCACAGACCUGCACAUAAUGGGUACAUAAUUGGUUGAAUUCUGUAUAAGUACAGUUUCUACCCAAGCACUUCUGUUGAGUCUGAUUGACUGGCUACUUGGCUGGCCCCUUUGUCCAAUUCUCCUAUUCCCUUCCUUCCCCUUCCCCCAUAAGAAGAAUAAGGCUUGGUUCCUAAAUUAUUUCAAAUAAGAUAAGCCCUUGUGGAAACUGCUUCAGUCAGUUUUUACAGGCCAAUAGAUCCCACAGCAUGUAUAUGAUUUACCGUUCAUAUUAAAUUGAAAAGCUCCCUUGUGUAAUUCUUUGGAACUACUGAUGAAAAUGAAAGGCAUUCACCAGAACUGUUGUAAAGAUUUAAUGACACUUGCAUUCAAGCUGCUGAAAGUAAAUAAUUAUGAUGCUGUGUGGCUAUUCUUCUGCUGAGUUUAGACAGUUUAAAACAACUUGUCCUGUGUUAGCUUGACAUUAAUUCAAGGUGUGUGAACAAUCUCCAUCAGAACUGUGAGCAACGUAUGAUGGAAACUUAGACAUUUUUUUAUAGAUUUAUGAAGCAUAACAAGAAUUUGGAGGAGGGGACCCUCAGGACAGUGACAGGGGAUUGUGAGAAGGACUUCCUGGAAGGCUCACCUGUCCAGAUCACCCUAUGAGAGGGAGAGGUGCCCAGGAGAAAGCACCACCAACAGUCACAGCAAGCCCAACUCUGGAUGGUUUGUGUGUCACUGCACCAAGGCACGUCACUCGUCUUCCAAGCCAGAUCUUUGUCCUGCCCCCACUUGCUAUCAAGAAGGAAAAGAAAAGUGAAAAAUAAAGACUGAGUGUGAA